GACACGGGCUUCCCACUGAAAGCUUUGGGGCUACAGCACUGCCAAUCCCAAGCUCUGUGGCUCUGAGAGUGCAGCCAAUCUUCACUUCAUAAGAUGGCUAUGAGGACAGAUUCCCCCAUCCUAGGUUAAGCCUGAGGUCUGCCCUGGGAGCUCUGCAAAGACCAGUGACAAGAGGAUUACUACUGGAUUCCUGACCUCAAGGAAUUGUUCCAUCUCACAAAGGCACGGGCUACCUCUGAGAGAGCACCUAAAUACACGACCAGCCCAAAAUGAUAAGCGGCAGCUGAGACAGGUGUGUUUGGGUGCUGCAGGUAUAAACGCACACAGUAUGAUGGAAGGGUAUUAUCUAAUCUAAGUGUGAAAAAUAUUUUUAUUGCUCUGG
ensembl:processed_transcript 4933400F21Rik uncharacterized LOC110293018